rnacentral:rRNA from 1 species
ACUCGUAAGAGACUGCCGGGGUCGAACUCGGAGGAAGUGGGGACGACGUCAAGUCAUCAUGCCCUUAUGUCCAGGGCUUCACACAUGCUACAAUGGCCAGUACAGAGGGCUGCGAGACCGUGAGGUGGAGCGAAUCCCUUAAAGCUGGUCUCAGUUCGGAUCGGGUCUGCAACUCGACCCCGUGAAGUCGGAGUCGCUAGUAAUCGCAGAUCAGCAACGCUGCGGUGAAUACGUUCCCGGGCCUU